UCCGUCAGGGCGGCGAAGCCAGAGAUGCUGUUCGUGUCAAAAAAAAAGAAAAGAAAAAGAGAGGCAGAGAUGCUCUUCGGCGACGGCCCCUUCUUGUCGGCCAGCCCCCGCCGGCGAACCACGCUCGCCGACCUGAUAUUCUUGUGCUCAUUGGCCAGUCACAGGAGAUUACAUGUCUUUUGGUCAUUGCCAGAGUUAUAUAAAUGAUGACUGAAGUGGUGGUGACUGUUCACUUUCACCUUGACUCCGAAUGCUGGAUGUAAGGACAAGUAAGCUGUAAUUUUGGAGAAAAAGAAGACAAUGGAAGCUGGGCACAGUGAAGUGUAUCGUGCUCGUGAUCCAGUAAAAAAUAUCCAGGACGCCCAGGGGAUGUCCCUGCUGUUCCAACAUCCUCAGAGGUAAGAAGAACAAUCUGUGUUAUGCACGCUCUAAGUGUAAGGGACACAAAAAUACUGGCAGCAUAUAUAGACUGUAGCAAUGCCACCCCUGAAGCUUCUGUUAUAGAAAUAAAGAAAUUAAGGCGAGGCUUGCUCAUUCUAAGCACAUCAUUACAGUUAUUACACCCAUGUUAACUUUCUAUUGAAACUGCUAAUAGAAUAUACUCCUAGCUAGUACUCCUACUAGCAACUUGCGAAGAUGUCAAGACUCAAGACAUAAACAAAUCAACUAAUCAAGGGUGUUGGAGGCAGCAGACAUGCAACUAAUAAAGUUAUAAAGUGGAGUACUAGUAGAAACGAACAAAAAGGGAUUCAAGCACACACCAAGAGCUUGAUUGUGCAUGCAUGCAUACAAGAGUGCAUGGUGUCUGGAAAAGAAAGCGAUUAGACUGGGAGCAUCACCUUCCUGGUAGCCGGAUGCUGAAUGCUGCCGACCGCUGGCGGUGCUGAGAGGAGAUGAAAUGAAGCCUUUGAGAUUGCUGUGGGGCAAGGAAGAGAGGCAAAAUGGGGGAGAUGAGCAAGAGUCUCCUUUGUAUGCGCAAUGUGGUGAAGCGCCUGUGCUUGCUCGUAGUGGUCGGGCUUAUUUAUAGGCGCCACAAGAAGCUCCUCAUUUCAUACUCUUCUUCUUCCCUCCUUUUCUUCCCAGUAUAAAAGUAUAAAAGACGGCCGGGCAGUCUCGCUGACACGCGGGGCAGCCAGCCGGCGCGCCGUGGUCCAGGUGCCAGCGUUCGUUCGCACGUACGAAGGAGGGGAGACUCUCAUGAGGCCUUUGAACGGGAGGGGCAGAGGGGUAUCAUGCAUGGUCGAAAGGAGACGAUCCGAGCCAUGAUGCGCGCGGCAAGGCUUAAAUGGUGGCUAAUGAUGAGGUUGGGUUGCCCGGGGGGGCUGCCCUCACGUGAUGGUUGGCCGCAUUUCUAUUUUCUUUCUUUCUACUCCAUGACCAUGUCGUCACGUGUUCAAAUGUGCUCUUGCACUUGCACAAAAAGGAUUACGAGUUUUCGCCGGGCAUUUGGUGGGAUUGCACCGCUUCUCGUGAAAAUCGUUUUUGCUAUUGAAAAGUUGCAUGUUUUUUAAGUUAUAGAUCAGUCGACGUGUUUAACCGUUGGAUCUUAAUCUGAUCCAACGAUGGCACGUGGGAGAAAGAGAGCACCUAAAUCUUGCUCCAAGAGGUCUGGUCCGCAAACUUAGACUAAGGUUUUUCUUAAAAAGUCAGACACACGAGAUAUAACCACACCCUACGAAGAUUAUUGACAAUUCGACGUUUCCGAGCAAGCUGGUCCCUGUUUCUUAACUACCAAGCAGGAGCACAUAUAUAUUCUGAGAUGAGAAUUAUUGUAUGAGCAAAGGAGUUUUAAUAAAAUCAUACUUGGAGGACCAUGCAUGAUAAGAUAGCCAAGACAGCUAUUAGCUCUCCUUGGCUGCCAAUUGAGGCAACGUGCAUGGCCGGCCGGCUUCCAAUCGGUCAGCACCGUACUGCAUUCUUUCGUACUACUGCUUUUACACUGGACAGGUCAGUAAUUUUGUGCUGGUACAGCUCUAGAGGUUUUUAUUAGGUGGCCAAACAGAAAUGGUGAUCAGCGAGAGGAAGUGUGGAAGAGCGAGAGAGAAGGUACGGUACGACGAAGAGAACGAGGGAGAGGCUUCAAAUGAUGAUGAUGAUGGGCCUCGGCCGGCCCAAGAUUCGUAAUGAUGGCUCGUUUUCUCCGGGGGAUUAUUAUUACGACUUUACUGCACCCCGCGGAUGCCCAUCCUUCAGUACCACCCUCAGGUGAUCAUGAGCCCCUCUUCUCCCAAUUGAAUGCAUCACAAUUAUGCCACACGCCUCAAAGUAUAAUAGUAAUUUACAGCAUGCAACUCUUCCUUGUUUGCCCCUUUCCUCUCUGGCCCAUCUCACCUCUUGCCUUUUGCAAAGCCUCUUGUUGAAUGUGAUUGUUACAAGGAACAGAAUCUCCGAAGCAAAAGGCAUAUGGUAGGCUGGUACUAGCAGAGAUGGUCUCUAGGGAGGCAGAAAGGAAUGGGAGAAAAGGAAAAGGAGAUAAUGACGCUGCUAGCCAGCCUGGACUCUCGUGGCUGUAUAGAUGGGAGCAAUUUCCUUGAUGAGUUAAUACUCUCCCUAGACACAAGCUUGGCUGAUUAUGCACAAGCAAACAUGCUUGGAUUACAGGGAUCCCUGAUGCGGAUUUAAAAAAAAAGUCCUCUCAUACUAGGGAUAAUAAUAGUACUGAUCGAGCUUCACUGCAGCAAUGCUAAUCCUAGACGACACGUACUGCCGGUGUAUUGAUUUCCUGUGACAUUGAGGUAGUGUAGUUCGUUGUAAACCUGUAUGGUAAACCCUUUCAAACUUCCAUCAGAUGCAUGU